UAGCAUAGCAUACAUGCAUGAUACUUCACAUGACCUGCUCCUCCACCUCCUCCUCGACAAGCAGCUGCUAUUUGCAGAUAAGGUUAGGUCGCUCACACGUACGCGGUGAGUGAGGUGAAUCCUAGGAUGAUCCUGCGAGCUGAGGCGCCGCGUGAUCGAUCGAUCUCGAGGUGGUUGAGGGGCACCUAAAAGAGGGGGCAGAAAGAGGGCGAGCCCGUUGCCAAUCCGAGCCGGAUGCCCCGAAACGGGGGCGCGGCGAGAUCAGGACGAGAUCGUGUUGGGAGCGCGUCCAAAUCAGAGGAGAUCGCAUGCAGGGUCGCAGUGAGACGGGAGUUGGACAACUGUGAAAGCCUCUGGUGGGGGGUCCUCAGGAUGAGGAUGAGCUGCCGCUUGUCUCGGCACGCGCUGAGGCUCUGGAAUGCCCACGGGUCGGUCGCCCGAUGUGGCAACUAGGCCAUUUGGAGUCCAUAAUUGUGCUCUGCAUUUGGAAACCUUGCCAGGCCCGCCGGGGGACCAGAUUGGUGCCGUUCUACUUUCAAUGACCUGUGUGUUCAUAAUGUGAGCAGAUUCUGUUCUUAUUUGCAUUUUUUUUCCUUCAUGGAGAGUUUCCGGAUGUAGGAUUGAUCAAAGUCACAUAAUUGUGGCAAAUCUGUCCCAAACAUAAAACAGUGUUUAGACAUGUUCAGAUAUUUAUUCUUACAUUGAAACGAAAGAACAUUGUACUAUCUUUAUUCCUAAAAGACUCAGUCCGUGGGUUGUUGUUGGUUUUAAUUCGCUCCAUGCAACCAACAAAUGCACCAUAGGUUUUCGUUCGCUCCAUCCCCAUCCAUCGAUAUCACCUUUCAUGAUACAAACCCGAUGAUCCCACCCUUUCUUAAUACACAAUAAAAGUAAUUGAGGAAAUGAGAGUCUUUUCAAACCGAAUAAGUCCACAAUAAAAACCAAUCGAGAAAUCAUUUAAUUCCAUAAAGAACAUCAUUCAAUCUGUUUGGAUUUUUCAUGUCACACCUCCUAAACACUAGUAGAAAAUGGGUAUUUCGGUCGGAGCAGAAAAGACCAUUAGUCCCGAUUCAAAUUAAAACCGAGACCAAUGCGAGGCAUUGGUCCCGGUUCCAGUUGCCAGGGCAAUAGUCCCGGUUCGGUUCGACACAUUAGUUCCAGUUCGCGGCAAAAACUGGGACUAAAGAUCCAGCAACUGCCAUGUGGCGUGCCGUGGAGCAUUAGUCCAGGUU
rnacentral:lncRNA from 1 species